rnacentral:rRNA from 2 species
AUCGUAAGGUUUGCUGGAGGUAUCAGAAGUGCGAAUGCUGACAUGAGUAACGACAAAGGGGGUGAAAAACCUCCUCGCCGGAAGACCAAGGGUUCCUGUCCAACGUUAAUCGGGGCAGGGUGAGUCGACCCCUAAGGUGAGGCCGAAAGGCGUAAUCGAUGGGAAACGGGUUAAUAUUCCCGUACUUCUGACUAUUGCGAUGGGGGGACGGAGAAGGCUAGGUGGGCCAGGCGACGGUUGUCCUGGUUCAAGUGCGUAGGCUUGAGAGUUAGGUAAAUCCGGCUCUCUCUAAGGCUGAGACACGACGUCGAGCUACUACGGUAGUGAAGUCAUUGAUGCCAUGCUUCCAGGAAAAGCCUCUAAGCUUCAGAUAGUCAGGAAUCGUACCCCAAACCGACACAGGUGGUCGGGUAGAGAAUACCAAGGCGCUUGAGAGAACUCGGGUGAAGGAACUAGGCAAAAUGGUACCGUAACUUCGGGAGAAGGUACGCUCUUGAUGGUGAAGUCCCUCGCGGAUGGAGCUGACGAGAGUCGCAGAUACCAGGUGGCUGCAACUGUUUAUUAAAAACACAGCACUGUGCAAAAUCGCAAGAUGACGUAUACGGUGUGACGCCUGCCCGGUGCCGGAAGGUUAAUUGAUGGGGUUAGCGCAAGCGAAGCUCUUGAUCGAAGCCCCGGUAAACGGCGGCCGUAACUAUAACGGUCCUAAGGUAGCGAAAUUCCUUGUCGGGUAAGUUCCGACCUGCACGAAUGGCGUAAUGAUGGCCACGCUGUCUCCACCCGAGACUCAGUGAAAUUGAAAUCGCUGUGAAGAUGCAGUGUACCCGCGGCUAGACGGAAAGACCCCGUGAACCUUUACUACAGCUUGGCACUGAACAUUGAACCUACAUGUGUAGGAUAGGUGGGAGGCUAUGAAGACGUGACGCCAGUUGCGUUGGAGCCGUCCUUGAAAUACCACCCUUGUAUGUUUGAUGUUCUAACUUAGACCCAUUAUCUGGGUUGAGGACAGUGCCUGGUGGGUAGUUUGACUGGGGCGGUCUCCUCCCAAAGAGUAACGGAGGAGCACGAAGGUGGGCUAAUCACGGUUGGACAUCGUGAGGUUAGUGCAAUGGCAUAAGCCCGCUUAACUGCGAGAAUGACGGUUCGAGCAGGUGCGAAAGCAGGUCAUAGUGAUCCGGUGGUUCUGUAUGGAAGGGCCAUCGCUCAACGGAUAAAAGGUACUCCGGGGAUAACAGGCUGAUACCGCCCAAGAGUUCAUAUCGACGGCGGUGUUUGGCACCUCGAUGUCGGCUCAUCACAUCCUGGGGCUGAAGUCGGUCCCAAGGGUAUGGCUGUUCGCCAUUUAAAGUGGUACGCGAGCUGGGUUUAGAACGUCGUGAGACAGUUCGGUCCCUAUCUGCCGUGGGCGUUGGAAGAUUGAAGGGGGCUGCUCCUAGUACGAGAGGACCGGAGUGGACGAACCUCUGGUGUUCGGGUUGUGUCGCCAGACGCAUUGCCCGGUAGCUAAGUUCGGAAUUGAUAAGCGCUGAAAGCAUCUAAGCGCGAAGCGAGCCCUGAGAUGAGUCUUCCCUGACAGUUUAACUGUCCUAAAGGGUUGUUCGAGACUAGAACGUUGAUAGGCAGGGUGUGUAAGCGUUGUGAGGCGUUGAGCUAACCUGUACUAAUUGCCCGUGAGGCUUAACCA